rnacentral:rRNA from 1 species
GACAGAGGUGCCAAGUGUUAGGCGGAAUCACUGGGCUUAAAGCGUGUGUAGGCGGAAUGGUAAGUACCUUGUGAAAUCCCACGGCUCAACCGUGGAACUGCUUGGUAUACUGCUUUUCUUGAGCCACUUAGGGGCAACCGGAACAAACGGUGGAGCGGUGAAAUGCGUAGAUAUCAGGAGGAACACCGGUGGCGAAGGCGGGUCUCUGGGCAACAACUGACGCUGAGGAGCGAAAGCGUGGGGAGCGAACAGG